UACGGGGGGGGCAAGCGUUGUUCGGAAUUACUGGGCGUAAAGUGUGCGCAGGCGGCCGAGCAUGUCGAGUGUGAAAGCCCCGGGCUUAACUCGGAACGGUCAAGUGAUACUGUCGGACUAGAGUACAGAAGGGGCAACUGGAAUUCUCGGUGUAGCGGUGAAAUGCGUAGAUAUCGAGAGGAACACCUGCGGCGAAGGCGGGUUGCUGGGCUAAUACUGACGCUGAGGCGCGAAAGCCAGGGGAGCGAACGGG
rnacentral:rRNA from 1 species